UACAGAGGUCCCAAGCGUUGUUCGGAUUCAUUGGGCGUAAAGGGUGCGUAGGUGGCGCUGUAAGUCGGGUGUGAAAUUUCGGAGCUUAACUCCGAAACUGCAUUCGAUACUGCGGUGCUUGAGGACUGGAGAGGAGACUGGAAUUCAUGGUGUAGCAGUGAAAUGCGUAGAGAUCAUGAGGAAGACCAGUGGCGAAGGCG
rnacentral:rRNA from 1 species